UUUAUUUCCAGCAAUGACAUACAAGACGUUGUCCUACCUGGAAGUUUUCCUGGUUUUCCUCCAGCACCAGGUUGGAGUCCUGUUUGAGGUACUACAGCUCCUGUACAUAACACAGAAUUAGGGGUUAAUGAGGAAAGGGGGGAAGAGCCUGAGAGAGUCUGAGCUGUGUGCUUGCACUGCUGAAGGUGAUCUACUAUCUGCAUGAAAGCACCUAAUCCACCAGCUCCAUAUCCACCAGCUCCAUAUCCACCAGCUCCUGCUCCACCAGCUCCAUAUCCACCAGCUCCAUAUCCACCAGCUCCUACUCCACCAGCUCCAGCUCCAUAUCCACCAGCUCCAUAUCCA